rnacentral:rRNA from 15 species
GGGUUGUGAGGUUAAGCGACUAAGCGUACACGGUGGAUGCCCUGGCAGUCAGAGGCGAUGAAGGACGUGCUAAUCUGC